UACGUAGGGUGCGAGCGUUGUCCGGAAUUAUUGGGCGUAAAGAGCUCGUAGGCGGUCUGUCGCGUCGAUCGUGAAAACUUGGGGCUUAACCCUGAGCUUGCGGUCGAUACGGGCAUGACUGGAGUUCGGCAGGGGAGACUGGAAUUCCUGGUGUAGCGGUGAAAUGCGCAGAUAUCAGGAGGAACACCGGUGGCGAAGGCGGGUCUCUGGGCCGGAUACUGACGCUGAGGAGCGAAAGCGUGGGGAGCGAACAGG
rnacentral:rRNA from 1 species